rnacentral:lncRNA from 1 species
GAAGACCAGACUUCCAGUGGACUAAAGCUGUGAGUGACGGACACAGACCGGCAGGGUCAACCACUUUAGAAGGAGAAGGAGAGCUGGAACCCAUCGUUAACAUGUCAUACUACAACAACAGUGGACAUAACAACCUGGCCUAUCAUGACAGCGACACUCUGCAGAUCGAUAGGUGGUGCGUGAGCCGCCUGGUGUGACCGUGUUGUGUACAUCAUAGGCUAAAUGAGAGGGAAACAACAUGACAAGUUUAGCCAAACAAUGUUGCCCAGGACCAGACAAUGAAUCAGAGAGGCUCUCCUUGUUCUGUCAUUAUAAAUGCAAACUCUCAUAGUAAAGUGCUUGGGAAUAAUCACUUUAGCUGAGAUUUCUGUUUUUGUCGUUGACCAUCAGGAAUUCAACUUCUAGACAAAGUCAUUCAGGUAGAAAAUCCUCUUGAUGAAAUCCUCCUCCUUUGGGUAUAAAGGGCUGUUUUAAAGCUAAAUUAGUUUGUUGUAAUUUAAAGUUAAUAUUUUUCCAAGUCUCGCAGAGCGUUAUGACCUGUCAGUGGUGAAACAGCAGUGAUGGUGAACACUAACUCAGUUACUAUAGUCAGCCAAUUACAACCCUCCUUUUCCUAUAGGUAAUUAAUUGUCACACUUUAAGCCGUUCGGGAAAAUAUUUGUUUUUCAGAAAAAUGUCGCCGCAUGUUAAUGAUGGUGUAGUAAUUUGACCACCGGUGACUUUAUUAUAACGCCACUUGGGAUGAUCUUGGAUUGACAGACACGCAGGAUAGAAGGCAUGGAUGCUCAGUGCUACAGUUCAAAUGUCACAUUCUCCACAACAUCCCUCUCCAAAGUCCUCCCAGGAAGUCGCCGCACAGUAACCCGCACGGAAACCCCUACCCCAGGGAUGAUGGAGCUGGAGCUGUGCAGAUGUGCAGUUCAGACCUCCAGCAGCUUCCAGGAGGGGGCUUGGUCAGCCAUGGCGAUGCCCAGGUGAGGGUCCCCUGGGGAGGGUGGCAGGAGGAGAGCUGGAGAGGGAGGGACAGCAUCCCCAUGGGUCUCCUCCCACCUCGAUCGGAGAGUCCGCAGUGGCAGCAUGAUUUCAAUCAAAGCAGGUACCAAGUAGACCCAGCAACAAAUUAUGACAAAUCUCCUCUUGUACAACAUCCAUCCACAACUUCAGGUCACGUUUCAAUGAGAUUCAGGGGUUCGAGGAAGAUGAGUCUAUUCCCUGUAGGAGAGGCUGCCCUGGGAAAUCUGGGCUUUUCUGAGGACGACAUCAGGAAUGAAAUGGAAAAUGGUGAGGAAAGAGGGAGAGACAGGAGCACAUCUGUAGAAAUGUAA